CCAGGAUAAUUAUGAGCUUCAUUGUUUUAAUAAGAGUCUCGGUCAGCCCGGAUCUCUGCUACAUCUUCACAGUUCCCAGAGGGAAAUAUAUGAGGGCAGCACCAGCGCCGGACAGAUGGAAUCAGACGCACUGCAGGUGGUCGGUCUACUUACCUGUUGUGAUACGACAGGUGAUCCACUCUGCAUCUCCCAAAUAACCAACUAAAGAAACCUUAAGACAUCUUUUUAGCCUGGAUUUUACUUAAGCAAUUUGGGCUGCAUGACUGUAUGAAAGGUGUUAUAUGAAUAAAGUUGAGUUGAGAGACGUCAAAGUCGCCCCAAUGAACGCCCCGCCACAUCCACGACCAACAGAAGAUUUUGAGCAGAAAUCCAAAAUCUAUAAAUGAUUUCUUUAUAUCACAUUUAUUCCCUCCUGUUACAUUCCGUGUAAAUUCUGUUUAUUUUGUCGGCCGCGGUUUGUUAU